CAGUCGCCACGGUAAUACGAAGGGUGCAAGCGUUAAUCGGAAUUACUUGGCGUAAAGCGUGCGUAGGCGGUUUGUUAAGUCUGUUGUGAAAUCCCCGGGCUCAACCUGGGAAUGGCAAUGGAUACUGGCAAGCUAGAGUGUGUCAGAGGAUGGUGGAAUUCCCGGUGUAGCGAUGAAAUGCGUAGAGAUCGGGAGGAACGUCAGUGGCGAAGGCGGCCAUCUGGGACAACACUGACGCUGAGGCACGAAAGCGUGGGGAGCAAACAGGAUUAGAGACCCGCGUAGUCCCUGUCUCUUAUAC
rnacentral:rRNA from 1 species